GCCGGGGUCCGACCAGAGGCGUCCAAGGAAAAGCCCCGUUACCCAAGAAACUUGAAGGCAGCUUCCACCGCCCUGGGAGGCUUUCCGGAGUGUGUGUUUGUUUGUUUUUAAUCGAAGUCCGACAGAUUUUGACCCCCACUGAGGUCCUCAACCCCGCUUUUCGACUACCAACAGAGACCUGUCCACUUGCUCCUCAACAAGCCAGGCUGGAUCAGCCCAACGCUGCAGUGUGGCAGGAAAGACUGGCCUGGCAAAUACCUGACUGUCGUUUCCUUAACUGUGGAAAUAUUCAUGGUCACAGCUGUCGCCUUGUGUCUGGGCGUUGUUGCCCCUUUGAAGACAGAAUGCAUUCUUGCGUCUCUGAGGCGCUCUAACAGGCUUAGGACGCUGCUCUCCUUUAGGACAAACCGACUGCCAUAACAAAACUGGUCACACAUCAGGAGCACUUCUAGGGGCAAGCGACCUGAGAAACACCCAAGAGGCCUAUGAUUUAUUUCUGAUCAUCUACUGCUACUGAACAGGAAACUAAAAAACCACAACACUUACAAAGACAACUUCCUGUGGGAUAUCUGGUGUCUGCGGCUCAAAAUGAAAGAAACAUGGUUUGUGUAAAAUCUUUGUAAAUCUUAGUAAAACUUAUUAAAGUUUUGACCUAAUGAACAA